CCUACGGGAGGCAGCAGUGGGGAAUAUUGCACAAUGGGGGAAACCCUGAUGCAGCGACGCCGCGUGAGUGAAGAAGUAUUUCGGUACGUAAAGCUCUAUCAGCAGGGAAGAAAAUGACGGUACCUGACUAAGAAGCCACGGCUAACUACGGGCCAGCAGCCGCGGUAAUACGUAGGGGGCAAGCGUUAUCCGGAUUUACUGGGUGUAAAGGGAGCGUAGACGGCAGCGCAAGUCUGGAGUGACAUCCCAUGGCUUAACCAUGGAACUGCUUUGGAAACUGUGCAGCUAGAGUGCAGGAGAGGUAAGCGGAAUUCCUCGUGUAGCGGUGAAAUGCGUAGAUAUUAGGAGGAACACCAGUGGCGAAGGCGGCUUACUGGACUGUAACUGACGUUGAGGCUCGAAAGCGUGGGGAGCAAACAGGAUUAGAUACCCUUGUAGUC
rnacentral:rRNA from 1 species